CUGCUGAACUCUUGUCUCAAUUCCAGUUUUCUUUCUCGGAGCCGACCGAGUCAGGGAUCACAGGACCCUCUGAGCCAGCCAGGUGUCCUUCCUUUACAUGGAAGAUGGAUUCACAUCCCCAGCUGUGGGAAAGAUAAGUGGAGGACUAGCACCUGGAGAGGGGAUGAGAACUGGGUCCAGUUUUAUGGUUAGGAGGGAGGGAUUUUCAAAUGAGCACAGGGGAAAGGGUCUGCCCUAAGAGGCCCUUGGCACACAUAGGAGGAGCAGUUUACUUUUCAUCACUGGAGUAGAAUGUGCAGGGCAGAGGUGUUCAGGUCUGUGUCGUGUCCUUUGUUCAGUCUGUGUUUUGUGUCUUAAAAUUCACAAUCACGGUGUCCUUUCUCAGAGUUCUCUCUCCUCGUUGCACCAGAGCACUUGUCGGGAAAUGUGUCCUUGGAGUUUGUGUUGGACCUGGAACUGCUCUACCCUGCAGUGCAGACUUGGGGCGUCAGAGGGGCUGGAUGUAAAGCAGAGAUAAACAGAAGAGGCUGGAGGAGCAGAGUCAGAAGAUGCAGAGCCACCGGCCCAGCAGACGAUAGGCACUAGAGGGAAGGUGAGCCUGGUGAGGAAGGCAGUGCACCGACUUCUGACGUACAGUCCAACGUGAUGGGGACCCUGCCUGUAAGAGGAGAUGUAGACAGCCUGACAGGGCCGAAGCCAACUCACAAUGAGGAGAUGGACACGGUUUGGUCCCCUGGAGCUGUCCUUGUAGGUAAUCUCUGAGUAUUAAAAGGAUCAGCAAUGAAGCACUGAGCUUUUCUGAUUGCAGGUGCCAUCUGGGUAACCUUUGGGAGCAGAUGAGCAUUGGAGGUAUCCCAGAAGAUGACAGCACAUUGUCCAAGUCUGGUCAGAGCCAGUGACAUGAGGACCUGCCUCGGUGCCAGUGAGUAGAGGAAUCGUCGGGGC